CGCUAGCGGCAGGCCUACACAUGCAAGUCGAGGGGUAACGGGGUGCUUGCACCGCCGACGACCGGCGCACGGGUGCGUAACGCGUAUGCAAUCUACCUUAUACUGGAGUAUAGCCCAGAGAAAUUUGGAUUAAUCCUUCAUAGUCUAUAGAUGUGGCAUCACAUUUAUAGUAAAGGUUACGGUAUAAGAUGAGCAUGCGUCCAAUUAGUUUGUUGGUGAGGUAACGGCUCACCAAGACGUCGAUAGGUAGGGGCCCUGAGAGGGGGAUCCCCCACACUGGUACUGAGACACGGACCAGACUCCUACGGGAGGCAGCAGUGAGGAAUAUUGGACAAUGGGCGAGAGCCUGAUCCAGCCAUGCCGCGUGCGGGAAGACUGCCCUAUGGGUUGUAAACUGCUUUUAUACAGGAAGAAACACUCCCACGUGUGGGAAUUUGACGGUACUGUAAGAAUAAGGAUCGGCUAACUCCGUGCCAGCAGCCGCGGUAAUACGGAGGAUCCAAGCGUUAUCCGGAAUCAUUGGGUUUAAAGGGUCCGUAGGCGGGCAAUUAAGUCAGAGGUGAAAGUUUGCGGCUCAACCGUAAAAUUGCCUUUGACACUGGUUGUCUUGAAUUAGUAUGAAGUGGUUAGAAUGAGUAGUGUAGCGGUGAAAUGCAUAGAUAUUACUCAGAAUACCGAUUGCGAAGGCAGAUCACUA
rnacentral:rRNA from 1 species